AGUGAACGCUGGCGGUAGGCCUAACACAUGCAAGUCGAACGGCAGCACAGUAAGAGCUUGCUCUUACGGGUGGCGAGUGGCGGACGGGUGAGGAAUACAUCGGAAUCUACUUUUUCGUGGGGGAUAACGUAGGGAAACUUACGCUAAUACCGCAUACGACCUACGGGUGAAAGCAGGGGAUCUUCGGACCUUGCGCGAUUGAAUGAGCCGAUGUCGGAUUAGCUAGUUGGCGGGGUAAAGGCCCACCAAGGCGACGAUCCGUAGCUGGUCUGAGAGGAUGAUCAGCCCCACUGGAACUGAGACACGGUCCAGACUCCUACGGGAGGCAGCAGUGGGGAAUAUUGGACAAUGGGCGCAAGCCUGAUCCAGCCAUACCGCGUGGGUGAAGAAGGCCUUCGGGUUGUAAAGCCCUUUUGUUGGGAAAGAAAAGCAGCAGGUUAAUACCCCGCUGUUCUGACGGUACCCAAAGAAUAAGCACCGGCUAACUUCGU
rnacentral:rRNA from 1 species